GAUGAACGCUGGCGGCGUGCCUAAUACAUGCAAGUCGAGCGAACGGACGAGAAGCUUGCUUCUCUGAUGUUAGCGGCGGACGGGUGAGUAACACGUGUAUAACCUACCUAUAAGACUGGGAUAACUUCGGGAAACCGGAGCUAAUACCGGAUAAUAUUUUGAACCGCAUGGUUCAAAAGUGAAAUACGGUCGUGCUGUCACGUAUAGAUGCAUACGCGCUGCAUGAGCUAGUUGGUGAGGUACCGGCGUACCAAGGCAACGUUGCAUAGCCGACCGGAUAGGACGGUCAGCCACACUGGGACUGAGACCGGGUACAGAGUGCCACAGGAGGCAGCCGUAGGGAAUCGUGCGCCAGGGGUGGAGGACUGACGGAGCAGGACCGCGUGCGGGAUGAAGGUCGUCGGGUGGUAAAACUCUGUCAUUAGGGAGGAACAUAUGUGUAAGUAUCUGGGAGCAUCAUUACGGUAACUAAUCAGAAAGGCACCGCUUACUUAGUG
rnacentral:rRNA from 1 species